GAUGAAGAACGUAGCGAAAUGCGAUAAGUAGUGUGAAUUGCAGAAUUCAGUGAAUCAUCGAAUCUUUGAACGCACAUUGCGCCCCUUGGUAUUCCAUGGGGCAUGCCUGUUCGAGCGUCAUUUGUACCUUCAAGCUUUGCUUGGUGUUGGGUGUUUGUCUCGCCUUUGCGUGUAGACUCGCCUUAAAAUAAUUGGCAGCCGGCGUAUUGAUUUCGGAGCGCAGUACAUCUCGCGCUCUGCACUCAUAACGACAGCGUCCAAAAGUACAUUUUACACUCUUGACCUCGGAUCAGGUAGGGAUACCCGCUGAACUUAAGCAUAUCAAUAAGCGGAGGA
rnacentral:misc_RNA from 1 species